AUAGCACGGUAGUCUCUCUCUAAUCUGUGACACUAUGUAGCGUUUUUCUGCGGUUGUUGCCAUAAGUAACUGAUUAGAAUAGUAUUGACAGAGUUUUAGUGACUGUCUAAGAGUAAAUUAGUAUUUAUUGCACGUUAGUUAGCAAUUCAGCAGAUUGCUCUCGAUAUUAGUCCAAUUUAUUUCAUUUUAUUCAGGUAAUGAAAUAACAUAAUGUGAAAAGAUCGUGUAAAUUUUACUGUUAAUUGAUUUAUUUGUAAAAAUUAUAUGGUUUUUCAAUACGUAAAUAUAUUAAAAUUAAUUCAAAUAGAUUCGUAAAAUUACAGUGGCAACUGUUGGAAAAUACAUAUAAUAUUUCGUCCAGAAAAGUUUUUAAUCUAUUUGUAAUGUUUAUUACAAUUACGUGCUGCUGAUCACUGAAUAAAAAUUACACACAUUUAAAAAUUGUAAAAAAAUCUGCUAAUUAGGCUGGAAUUGAAAGGAUAAUUAUAAUAAACCCUGAAGAUGGCAGUUAAUGUGUUCGAUGGUUGGGACUACGCAAUCAUGGCUGCCACGAUGGCGGCGUCGAUAAUCAUCGGUGUUUAUUUCCGUUUUAGUGGAGGCAAACAGAAAACGAAUGAGGAAUAUCUUCUGGCCGACCGCAAUCAGUCCAUAUUGCCAGUGGCUGUGUCCCUGAUGGCAUCUUUUAUGUCUGCGAUUACUCUGCUCGGUGUCUCAUCAGAAAAUUAUUAUUAUGGGAUGCAAUUUGUUGCAAUCAACAUAUCACAUUUAUUAGCUACGCCUAUAGCUUGCUACUUGUAUCUUCCUGUAUUUUUUAGACUACAAAAGACAAGCACCUACGAGUAUUUAGAGCUCCGCUUCGGUCCACGAAUAAGAAUGCUCGCAUCAUUGACAUACACAUUACAAAUGGUGCUAUAUAAUGGAAUAGUAUUAUAUGCUCCUGCUAUAGUUCUAGAAUCCGUGACUGGUCUGGAUAGACUGAUAUCUAUUUUAGUUGUAGGUUUAGUAUGCACUUUUUACUCAACUUUAGGAGGCAUGAAAGCAGUGUUAUUCACUGACUUGCUACAGUCUCUGCUGAUGUUUGGAGCUGUAUUUAUAAUAAUUAUAUUUAGUGCAAUACAAUUAGGUGGAUUCGAGAAGAUAUUUACAAUAGCGCAAGAAGGUGGGCGAUUAAAUUUUAACAAUUUCAGCUUGGAUCCAACAGAGAGGCACACGUGGUGGUCUUUGUUGAUUGGCGGUGCUAUUACUUAUUUGUCUUUAUAUGCAGUUAAUCAGACACAAGUUCAACGCCUGAUGACUGUUAGCACAUUGGAAAGAUCACAGAAGUGCCUUUGGUGGAGUUGGCCAGUUCUUUUUACACUUGGUGUUAGUACUUGUACCAGCGGUCUUGGCAUGUAUGCGGUAUACAGAGACUGCGAUCCUUUAUUGGAUCAAAAAAUAUCUUCUAUAGAUCAGCUAAUGCCGUACUACGUAGUGGAUGCGAUGCGAGGUGUUUCAGGUUUGGCUGGCCUGUUCGUGGCAGGUAUCUUCAGUGCUUCACUAUCUACUAUAUCGGCUGCUUGUAACGCGCUAGCCGCUGUCACGCUCACAGACUACGUCGGUAGGUGGUGCACCGUACGACCAUCUUACAUGCCAUGGCUGACGAAAUUGGCGGCAUGUGCGUAUGGACUUUUUUUCUUGGCUUUGGCAUUUCUCGCCGAGUACCUCGGCGGUGUGCUGCAGGCUGCCUUAACCAUCUUCGGUGCAGUCGGUGGACCCUUAUUGGGUGUUUUUACGCUUGGCAUGUUUACAACAUACGCUACAGAAUUGGGUGCAUCGAUAGGCUUGGUCACUGGUAUGAUGAUGACACUGUGGAUGAGUUUUGGGGGACCGCGUCCGCCGCUCACCAAGCUACCUCUUAGCACCGAGGGUUGUGCUCAUAAUGGAACUUUAUGGGAGUUCACGCAAAGUAAUCCAGAUGACUAUUUCUAUUUAUAUCGAGUGUCUUAUAUGUGGACUAGUCCGUUCGGUUUCGUGUGGGUGGUGGUGGUGGGCAGCGCGGUGUCGGCGCUGUGGCGGCAGCAGCAGCCGUGGGAGCGCGCGGGCCGGCCGCACCCCGACCCCGCGCUCUUCACGCCGCCCCUCGCCGCACGCCUCAGGGAGAGGGCACGCGGAGAUAAAGUUGAUAUUCAGAUGGAUUCUACCUAAAAUGAAUCUUCUCUUCAUUCUUCGGGCUUGCUUUGUAGAUAGCAUGUAAUAUUAGUAUUGCAGAGUGAACUGCUGAUGUACAAUGGAGUAAAAAACUCUAAGAAUAGCAUCUAAAUCUGCAAAACAAUGUUCCUAAAUUAUUUUUGUAAUAUUAUUUAAGGACUUUAGCACAAAUUAAUCAGAAAGACAGAUCACGCUUUUUGACACGUUAGAUUUUUUGUUUAGCAAAAUGUGUGCAUGUCGAGUCGAUAUAUCGACAAGACGGUAAAUGUCUUCCACUGCCCCAUUAUGUCGUGGGUACCUUUUAUCAAGUAUAACAAAAGUAAUUCUUUGGUAAAAAUAAAUGUAACUUUCUCGCAAUAUGGGUAGGUGCACACUAUAAUAUAUUUGGGUGCUAAAUAAAACAAUAAUUUUAUUACGUAUCUUACUGUUAACUACGAAGUUUUCAGUGACUAACUAAUAGACAAUACGAGAAUUAUGAAUUUAUAAUAAAAAUAUAGCUGUGGAUUUGUAAAGCUCAAAUCCUUAGCAAUGUCUAAAACCAAAUAUCAGUGUAUACAAUUUGUUAAUUUUAAAUCUGAUGUUAAUUUUAUGGAAUUAUGCUAAUUGUAUUAAAUUAGAAAAUAUUACUAUAAUUAAUAUUAUAUCACCCUAUAAUUACAUUUUUAGAUUUCUAUUUUUUUAUUCAACGUAGAAUGAUAUUAUAAUAAAUUGCCGGCCCAUCUGCUAUAAAACGGUAACCGUCGCUUAUAGACAUGAACGGUACCAUUGACAUUACAGAAUACACUGUGAUUGCUAAGGAACUCCUCAUGCGUUGCCAUUCCCUUGUGUUAAAUUUUUAUUUUCCGCAUUAAAAUACUGUUAAAUUAUUAGGUUACACUUAACCUUUACCUAUGUUAUUAAUUUGAUAGUAAUAUAAAUAAAGACAAAUUAAUACUUAUAAUUAAGAUUGUACCAGUAUUACUGUGUGAUAACAAGAUUUUGGUUCAGUAAAAAUAAAAUAAAUAUAAUAUACAUUACACAGGUUCAUUUAGUUUUUAACUAGGCAAAGUUUAGUUAUACUAUAGAUAUUAGUUAAUUGAUAGACAUGUUUAAAUAGUUUUUUUAUAUUAAUAUAUUUUUUGUGAAUAUAUAUGUAUAUUAUACAUAGAAAACAUCUAGAAUAAUAUAAAUAGAAACUCAGAAAUACAAACGUCUGUGCUAUGCAAGGAUCGAACGCGUGACCACAAGAAGGUGAGUCAAUUAGUUUAACCGCCGUACUACUAAGGUUGGCAAAUAAACCGUCAUCUUAGUCCACUGCUCGAAGAGUCAAAAUGUGGCGUGUUUUUUUUUUCUAACCGUGUACUGUUGUUGGCCGCUGAUGGCCUUUACAACUUCACUGAACGCGUGUGAGCAGGGGCGAGUGCAGAUGGCACUCCAAGCCCGUGAGAGGGGAACGACAGAGGCGUCAGCUUUUAUAUAUGGACUGCGAAGUGGUAGCGUGUUGCCACGUUACUUUAUUUGUAGUUGGAAAUAUUUUAUAAUAGUAGGAGGGCGGAGGUCAUUGACACAUGCAUUCUUAUACUAAUAUAGAUUAUGAUCUUAAACGAUUAUGCAAAACUAGCUUCAUAAUUUGUGAAUUUGUGUGAUAUAAACAAAGUUAUAAUUAUUAAUCUUGUGUUCUAGUGGCGUAAAGUCAGCCAGAAAUUCAAAAUGACACAUACAAAGUUUUACAAUUGAAAAAUUAGUGUGCGCUUAUGAAACCUUUUAAUAAUAAAAAAAUGUUUUUCAUUUAAAGAUAUUUUUAUAACCACCUUGUACAUGGGAUUACCCGUAAUAGGUAUACCAAUCCAAAACCAUAACCGAAACCCAGUAAUAUAAUUUUUAAAACUGAACAACUUUCCUUAAGGGGUUUAGCCUAAAUCCUAAAGUAAAUUUCAAACUUGGUCAAGUGUUUCACAAUUCAGUACAAAGAUAUAUACAGUAGUAGGUAGUAGAUAUGUAGGUAGUAAUUAUGAUAUUGAUGUUCACAAAACAGAUAAAAAUUAAAUUGUACGCACAAACGGGGGAGUAUGGCUAAAUUACAUAUACAAAAUGAAUAAUUCCCUAUUAAUUCUUAAUUUUUUUUUAUUUUGUUAUAAAUUAAGCAAAUCUAUAAAGAUUUACUUGUUUUAAUAGUAUUGUACUUAUAAAGUGUGCUUACUACAAUAGCUGUAGAGUGUAAUAUUUUAAAUAUCAAGUAUUUAUAUGUAUAAUAUAAUAUUAUGUAGAAAUGUUAUUUAAGUAAGAGGUAAUUGUGACAAAUUAUGCUUCUCAAAAUCGUGUCUUCCAUAUGUUUUAUAUAUUUUAGUAAUAUCUAAGUAUCAUAGUAUUUAAUAUUUAUCCAUGUUGUCUAAUUUUAAUUUAAAGCAUAUAAAUAAAUAUUUAU